GAUGCGCUGCGCUGUUUCGGGGCUUUGUCUUUAUUCACAACACAUUCACGUGUCUCGGCGGGGGGAGCAGGGAGGGGGGAGGAACUGCACAGUUGCCUGCCAGCCUGUCCUCUUUGACUGUCUGCCGAAUAAGCCGAAUUGUAACUCUCCAUUAGAGAGUGAUAGAUACUGAGAGAGGAGGAGAGGAGAGAGAGGAGAGGCAGGGAGGGAGACAGAGACAGAGACAGAGACAGAGACAGACGCCAGCACACCGAGAUACAGAGGAAGAAAAAACACGCAAAAAGGAGUGGGGCGGGGGGGGGAGAGAAAGGAUGCUCUCGGCACACUCCUAUGUUAGGUCUCUGUGCAAAGGCGGAAGGCUGCAGGAGCAGCAUCAGCUAGCUUUUGGGCAGUAAUUCUAACUAUUGCCCGCCAGCACCGUUGUCAGGACGACUUUGAAGAGGCAACAUAUCACUUAUGCGUAGCACACUCUAGUUCUGCUAAAACUGGGGGUGCAAACAGCCCCCUUGUUUUCUAAUUUAGCGACUUGCAUCUUUUUGACACUCAACUCUAUCGAGACACUGCUACUACAGGGUACCAGGAACUGGGAAGUCUAAUUACAUUGCUGUAUAUGAUCAGAGAUCCAUGAUAUUCUUCAUCAAUCUCUUUCAAAUUCAGAGCUUCAAGAUCAUUUCACUGUAAAGAAUUUAUAAAUAUCUCUUUCAAGUCCCAAGUUUUCUCUCAAGCAUCAUCAAGUGGAUAACCAUCACCAGCUGGAUUAUACCCAAUUGUUCUAACAUUCAAUAGCACAUUUUCUCUUUCAGACAUGCAUUCUUCAUUCUCAUUAAAGGGAAAAAAAUCCUAAAUAGUUUAGUGUUUUUCACACAAUUAUUGAAAUAACUAGUCUUUAGUUGUGAUUAUUCAUUUAUCUCAUAAUAAAGUGGGAUGGUGGCAUAGAGAUGAAAUUUUGUUGACAAUCCUGAAAACAAGUGCUUGAAGUAGAUUCAUCAUGAUGAGGGCUAAACUAAGACAAAUUUCUAUUUUGUGGUUGGAUACUUUUUAAACAAGAGAAAUAUGCAUUUGUUACACAUAUUUUUAAAGAAUUCAAGCAACACAGGGAUGAAUGAGGAGCAAACAGAAUAGUUUAUUUGAGUGAAAUAGUUAUUAGUUAAUAUACUGGUCUGGAUGUGCUGUAUCUGUUAGCUAUUGCUGCAUAAUAAACCAUUCAAAAUUUAA